GUUUUACUUUUCUCUGUUGUUCCUGGUCUAAAUAGUUGCAAGGCUGUCGCCGCUGUGGGUGUGCAAUUUGUGUUGCUGUGUUUCUGUGGAGUCCUAGCCACGGCUCGCUUCUAGUGUGGCCAAGGGUCAAGGUAGGGCUUUCAGCUUAAAGCUUCAGAAGCGCUGCGCGCUGAGAUGGGUGUAGGUGACACUGCUGUUGCGCCUGCAGCUGUGCUCGCAGGGAUGCUGGGCGGCUCCGCAUCAGACCGGCGAGGUGCGCGUGGACCUCCGUCGGGCUGCGCCCUGGGUGCGCGAGCGUGCCGUGUGUUUGCUGUUCCGGCUUGUACGUGCGAGGGCUUAACGUUUGAUUUAACGCAUUUCCUUUAACGGCAGGCUGUAGUUGGGCUCUAGACGGUAUUCCUACGUGGGCGCAAGAGCUGUGGAAUGGUUAAGCUGUUGCUGUGCCUCCAGGUGACUUGUUCAGUAACACUGUUUUUCCAGGUGCAGAUGGAUGAGUCGUGCAGGGCAACGGAGGAGAGCCCAGGGGAGCGCUGUAAGAAGGUGACAGCCCUGCGAUGCUGCGGUGCCUGCGAGGUGAUGCCGCCGUGCUCGUUGCUGCUUCCUGGUAAGGAAAGGCCUCCUCCGCUCCUGCUGCAGCGUGGUGGUGUGUCGGACACGAUUCCCUGUGUCGGGUGAGGCCUAGGGCUGCCGGUGAGGUGAGCGAGCCCCUUUGGUGGGUGCCGGGGUGUCUCCUUGUGUGCCUGCACUACCGGGGCUGGUGGGAUGGGAAGCUUCAAACGACCUGCCGAGGCAGGCUUCUGGUAUGCUAAAGGCGAGCGGGUGAGGGCAGCCCCAGGAGUUACCCGGGAGCUGAUAGAAGGGAAGAGGGAAAGGAGGAGGAGGAGGAUGACCUUUUCCCCCUGCCCAGGGUGCAGAAGAUAGCCGACUCCCCAGCUCACCAGAGCUCCCCCUCAGCCUCCCCUGGCCCCCCUUGCCCCGUGCUCCUGCCCCCAGCUCCGGCACGAGCGAGCUAGGCUACGUGCCUAGGAAGCCUCAUCUCGUAAGAGCUGUGAGACACCCUUGUAUUCUCUUCAGGUGCAGGACGGCCUAGAGUCUGGAGCUGCAGAAGAGGCAGGGCGGAGAGGAGGGGAAAGAAGCAUCUGAACGGCUAAAUUGUGCCAGCAGCGCUGAGAGCGAGAGUCGCGAGCUCGCUUCAACGCUACCAAUACUGCUUUCUGUGCUGAGGUGUUUGCAGGCAGCACCCCUGACUCCAUUCCCUCGGCGGUGAUAACGACAGCAUAUCCGGCCAUUCUCUUCUCGCCCAGAGCUGCUUCCAUCUGUAAACAACUCCAGAUCAGGAUUUUCCCAGAGGUUUGUGUCUCAGGCCUGGUCUGCUGGAAUAGACUUGUUCAAUAGUUAGCAAGCGAUCGUGUUCGAAAUUGUCCGUAAGGUUUUCUGUUGUUAAAAACAUACAGGAUUCAGUAUAGCAGUAGUCUUCGAUUCCACAUGGUCUUGUUCUAACAGAACAACUUGAUAUUUCAACAUUCUGCUAAGGGAUAGCCAACGACCCCCCUUUUGUUCUAAAACAGUCACCGCUAUGUGCGGGACACAUACUGUCAUCUUUUGUCCCAUUGUUAACUUUGGGGCUUCCUGGAUCGGCAGCGCUGCUGUUGCUACUGCCCGUAAACAUCCAGGCCAUCUUUUACUCACGUGGUCGAGUUGUUUGGAGAAGUAGCCCACGGGUCUCUUCCAGGUUCCCAGUCGCUGUGUCAGCACUCCAAGGGCUAAAUGUUGUCUUUCGUGGACAAACAACUCAA